GAUGAAGACCGCAGCGAAAUGCGAUAAGUAAUGUGAAUUGCAGAAUUCAGUGAAUCAUCGAAUCUUUGAACGCACCUUGCACCCUUUGGCAUUCCGAAGGGUAUGCUCGUUUGAGUGUCAUUGUACUCUCACACUUCCGAUCUUUGGAUUGGGAGCGGUGGACUUGGGUGUUGCUGCUUACUGUGGCUCACCUCAAAUCGAUUCGUGCACCUCUUGGUUGGACAUAGUACGGCGUGAUAAGUGUCUUCGCCGGCACCUCAGUAGAGGGUGGCUGAUCGGGAGCUCUGCUUCAAACCGUCCUCGGACAACAACUGACAACUUGACCUCAAAUCGAGUAGGACUACCCGCUGAACUUAAGCAUAUCAAUAAGCGGAGGA
rnacentral:misc_RNA from 1 species